UCCAAAGCCCAUUCAUCCUUGCAAUACUGACCACCACCAUCGCCACUGAAAACCCUCUCACCACACUCACCAUCGCCACUGACCACCACCAUCGCCACUGACCACCCUCUCACUGCAACAUCGCGAAGAAACCCUCUCACCACACUCACCAUCGCCACUGACCACCACCAUCGCCACUGACCACCCUCUCACUGCACCAUCCCGAAGAAACCCGUACUCAUCACCACUCACUACAAGAAAGUCACUCCUGUUCGUCCUCACCAUCGUCAUCUCUGCGCUUCUCACCUUCGCCAACCCUGUCGCGCACAACCCUCACCGUCGCCACCACUCACUCAUCUUCAUCACUCACGACUCACCACGCCGUCAGUCAUCGUCAUUGUUGCUUCUCUUUGCUGCGCGCUCACAUUAGGAAGACUCUGCCUCAACUGAAAGCCUCUCAUCAGUCUCUCACCAUCGUCAAGAAGGUUUUGACAGAGAGUAUUGAUCGUGUCUUAGAGUUUGUUAAAUGAAGUAAGGCAAUCAACCCCACUAUUGCAUUGGAGACAGCUACAGCCUUGCAGUUACCAUCCAAUUUCCAUUGUGUUUUCUCAAGCAAAGGGAGUUGCUGUGUAGGAUUCAGAGGGAAACAAAUAUCUUGAUUUCUUAUCUGCUUAUUCUGCUGUUAAUCAGACAUUGACGUGCUACUAAAUCAUCUUCUUCUUCGUCUUCUUCUCUUCGAGGAUGGCAAUGGAGGUCUUGACACGCGUUUGAGCUUUGAUUCUCUCUGCUUGUAGUUCGAGAUUCAAUCUUCUCUGCUCGCAAUCGAGAUUCAAUCCAAUUUGUUCGCGUUUGAUCUUCGAUUGUCUCUGCUAGCAGUUCGAGCUUCCAUCAUUUCUACUCGCUUGUUCAUCACCGGAUCUAUAAAGUCUUUAGGUUUUGCUUGCCGUUCAUCUAUGAUCUCUUCCAAUUUGCCAGCGUUCUUCUGCUAGGGUUCAUCACCGCUGAUCAUUGUUUUACAGGAAAGUGAGUAGAAGCUGCUUGUGUCUAUCAGCAUAAGGCUUUGCUUUGUUGACUUGUGUGAAAAAGACAAAAAGAGUGAUGGCUGGGACCAAAAUAUUGCCUACUCAAUAAUUGAAAGAAGCUAAGCAUUGAACACGGGUUGCUUAACACGGGCUGCCUACUCAAUAUAUGAAACUUGUUGCUGUGUGUAUUAGUGUUGAGGUUGGUGAUCCUGCACAGCUUCCAGCAGCUGUAAUUUCAGAUGUUGCUAAGAAUCAUGGAUAUGGCACAAGCUUAUUUGAAAGAUUGAUGCAAGCUGGCUAUCCAGUUAAAAUGUUGAAGACCCAAUACCGAAUGCAUCCUGAGAUUGAUUCCUUCACUCAUACUUGAGUAUACGCAGCUGAACACUAAGUGCAAAUUAUUGCGGCAUGACCUCCAGUUAUUGGACUCAGUGGAGGCAAGAGGAUUUUGAGUUCAUCAUACCACACAAUAUCAGAUUGUUCCAACAAAGUCAAGCAUAGAUAUAAAAUAUGCAAAUAGAUUGACAUUAUUUUGAUAAAUAUUAAUUACUAUUUUGUUAUGACAAUUAUUGUUAGACAAGAAUUUUAUUAUUUUGUUGAGAAUUAUUGAUGAACAUGUAUUAGAAAUACUAAUUGAACUUUUUAAUAUCUAUUUUAAUUAGAAUUUUAUUUUUA